GACGAACGCUGGCGGCGUGCUUAACACAUGCAAGUCGAACGGUGAUGCUCCAGCUUGCUGGAGUGGAUCAGUGGCGAACGGGUGAGUAACACGUGAGCAACCUGCCCCAGACUCUGGAAUAAGCGCUGGAAACGGCGUCUAAUACUGGAUACGAAACUGGCCCGCAUGGGCAUGGUUUGGAAAGUUUUUCGGUUUGGGAUGGGCUCGCGGCCUUUCAGCUUGUUGGUGAGGUAAUGGCUCACCAAGGCGACGACGGGUAGCCGGCCUGAGAGGGCGACCGGCCACACUGGGACUGAGACACGGCCCAGACUCCUACGGGAGGCAGCAGUGGGGAAUAUUGCACAAUGGGCGAAAGCCUGAUGCAGCGACGCCGCGUGAGGGAUGACGGCCUUCGGGUUGUAAACCUCUUUCAGCAGGGAAGAAGCGAAAGUGACGGUACCUGCAGAAGAAGCACCGGCUAACUACGUG
rnacentral:rRNA from 1 species